rnacentral:rRNA from 1 species
UACGUAGGGAGCAAGCGUUGUUCGGAUUUACUGGGCGUAAAGGGCGCGUAGGCGGCGCGGUAAGUCACUUGUGAAAUCUCUGAGCUUAACUCAGAACGGCCAAGUGAUACUGCAGUGCUAGAGUGCAGAAAGGGCAAUCGGAAUUCUUGGUGUAGCGGUGAAAUGCGUAGAUAUCGUAAGGAAGACCAGUGGCGAAGGCGGGUCUCUGGACAGUUCCUGACGCUGAGGCACGAAGGCCAGGGGAGCAAACGGG